UACGUAGGUUGCGAGCGUUAAUCGGAAUUACUGGGCGUAAAGCGUGCGCAGGCGGUCUGUUAAGACCGAUGUGAAAUCCCCGGGCUUAACCUGGGAACUGCAUUGGUGACUGGCAGGCUUUGAGUGUGGCAGAGGGAGGUAGAAUUCCACGUGUAGCAGUGAAAUGCGUAGAGAUGUGGAGGAAUACCGAUGGCGAAGGCCAGCCUCCUGGGCCAACACUGACGCUCAUGCACGAAAGCGUGGGGAGCAAACAGG
rnacentral:rRNA from 1 species